rnacentral:tRNA from 1 species
GCUCCCAUGGCGUAGUGGUCACUGCGCUCGCCUUGCACGCGGGAGACCCAGGUUCGAUUCCCGGCGGUGUCA